UGGGCGUAAAGCGAGCGCAGACGGUUACUUAAGCAGGAUGUGAAAUCCCCGGGCUCAACCUGGGAACUGCGUUCUGAACUGGGUGACUAGAGUGUGUCAGAGGGAGGUAGAAUUCCACGUGUAGCAGUGAAAUGCGUAGAGAUGUGGAGGAAUACCGAUGGCGAAGGCAGCCUCCUGGGAUAACACUGACGUUCAUGCUCGAAAGCGUGGGUAGCAAACAGGAUUAGAUACCCUGGUAGUCCACGCCCUAAACGAUGUCAAUUAGCUGUUGGGCAACUUGAUUGCUUAGUAGCGUAGCUAACGCGUGAAAUUGACCGCCUGGGGAGUACGGUCGCAAGAUUAAAACUCAAAGGAAUUGACGGGGACCCGCACAAGCGGUGGAUGAUGUGGAUUAAUUCGAUGCAACGCGAAGAACCUUACCUGGUCUUGACAUGUACGGAAUCCUCCAGAGACGGAGGAGUGCCUUCGGGAACCGUAACACAGGUGCUGCAUGGCUGUCGUCAGCUCGUGUCGUGAG
rnacentral:rRNA from 1 species